UACGUAGGGUGCGAGCGUUGUCCGGAAUUAUUGGGCGUAAAGAGCUUGUAGGUGGCUCGUCGCGUCGGGAGUGAAAACCCGCGGCUUAACCGCGGGCCUGCUUUCGAUACGGGCGGGCUAGAGUUCGGCAGGGGAGACUGGAAUUCCUGGUGUAGCGGUGGAAUGCGCAGGUAUCAGGAGGAACACCGGUGGCGAAGGCGGGUCUCUGGGCCGAUACUGACACUGAGAAGCGAAAGCGUGGGGAGCGAACAGG
rnacentral:rRNA from 1 species